rnacentral:lncRNA from 1 species
GCAGCACCUGCCUCCUAACUAGGACAAGCGCAGGGUCUCCUGCUCACCACCCUCGCCCUGUCCGAAUCGCCGAACGUCUGGAAAACCGAGACCUGAAGUCACUGAAAACUGGUGACGUGCAGGACAGCUCGCCUGGGCUUAUCCCUGAC